rnacentral:rRNA from 1 species
CCUACGGGGGGCUGCAGUGGGGAAUAUUGGACAAUGGGGGGAACCCUGAUCCAGCCAUGCCGCGUGUGUGAAGAAGGCCCUCGGGUUGUAAAGCACUUUCAGUGAGGAAGAACACCUGGUGGUUAAUACCCAUCAGGAAAGACAUCACUCACAGAAGAAGCACCGGCUAACUCCGUGCCAGCAGCCGCGGUAAUACGGAGGGUGCGAGCGUUAAGCGGAAUUACUGGGCGUAAAGCGCGCGUAGGUGGCUUGAUAAGCCGGUUGUGAAAGCCCCGGGCUCAACCUGGGAACGGCAUCCGGAACUGUCAAGCUAGAGUGCAGGAGAGGAAGGUAGAAUUCCCGGUGUAGCGGUGAAAUGCGUAGAGAUCGGGAGGAAUACCAGUGGCGAAGGCGGCCUUCUGGACUGACACUGACACUGAGGUGCGAAAGCGUGGGUAGCAAACAGGAUUAGAUACCCGGGUAGUC